rnacentral:rRNA from 1 species
UGGGGAAUAUUGCACAAUGGGGGAAACCCUGAUGCAGCGACGCCGCGUGAAGGAAGAAGUAUCUCGGUAUGUAAACUUCUAUCAGCAGGGAAGAAAAUGACGGUACCUGACUAAGAAGCCCCGGCUAACUACGUGCCAGCAGCCGCGGUAAUACGUAGGGGGCAAGCGUUAUCCGGAUUUACUGGGUGUAAAGGAGCGUAGACGGAAGAGCAAGUCUGAUGUGAAAGGCUGGGGCUUAACCCCAGGACUGCAUUGGAAACUGUUUUUCUAGAGUGCCGGAGAGGUAAGCGGAAUUCCUAGUGUAGCGGUGAAAUGCGUAGAUAUUAGGAGGAACACCAGUGGCGAAGGCGGCUUACUGGACGGUAACUGACGUUGAGGCUCGAAAGCGUGGGGAGCAAACAGG